ACUUACAGGAAGAUCCUCAUUGCCAGGAGCCUCAAACGUCCUGCAGAAAAUCAAAAAAAGAUCCCAGUCUCUUCAGUGGCACUCAACUUUUUCAAGUCACAAGAUGGAAGCGCUUUGGAAGAGGAGUAAAGGACCUGGACUCUGAUUCCAUGCCACCGCAAACUCGGGCAGGCACUUCAAAGCAGAGAGUCUCAUUUUCCACUUCUGAAAAACACAUGGUCUAGAUGAGCUCUAAGUCCUUUGCACUCAAUAAUUUCACAGUCUUUUUUAUUAUUAAUAUUAUUUUCAAUUGAAAAAUCAUAAUUGUAUAUUUAUGGGGUACAAUGUGAUGUUUUGAUAUAUGUAUUCAAUAAGGAAUUAUUAAAUCAAGAUAAUUAACAUAUCCAUCAUCUCACUUGCCUAUCAUUUAAAAAAAUUUGCCUAUCAUUUUUUAUGGUGAGACAUUUGAAAUUUAUUCUUAGUUAUUUUGAAAUAUACAUACGUUAAUAUUGACUAUAGUCACCCUGCUAGGCAAUAGAUCUCAAAACCUAUUUUUCCUGUCUACAAAGAAACUUUGUACUCUUAAAUCAACAACUCUCCAUUCACGGCCUCCCCACACACCAUCCCCAGCCUCUGGUAACCACCAUUCUACUCUCUACUUCUGUGAGUUCAACCUUGUUAUAUUCUGCAUAUAAGUGAGAUUAUGUGGUAUUUGUCUUUCUGUGCUUGGCUUAUUUCACUAAGCACAAUGUCCUUCAGAUUCCUCCGUGUUGUUCCAAACGACAGGAUUUCCCCCAUUUGGGGGCUGAAUAAUAUUCCAUUGUGUUUAUGUAUCACAAUUUCUUUAUCCAUUCAUCCACUGAUA
rnacentral:lncRNA from 10 species